rnacentral:rRNA from 1 species
GUCGAGCGGACAGAAGGGAGCUUGCUCCCGGAUGUUAGCGGCGGACGGGUGAGUAACACGUGGGUAACCUGCCUGUAAGACUGGGAUAACUCCGGGAAACCGGAGCUAAUACCGGAUAGUUCCUUGAACCGCAUGGUUCAAGGAUGAAAGACGGUUUCGGCUGUCACUUACAGAUGGACCCGCGGCGCAUUAGCUAGUUGGUGGGGUAAUGGCUCACCAAGGCGACGAUGCGUAGCCGACCUGAGAGGGUGAUCGGCCACACUGGGACUGAGACACGGCCCAGACUCCUACGGGAGGCAGCAGUAGGGAAUCUUCCGCAAUGGACGAAAGUCUGACGGAGCAACGCCGCGUGAGUGAUGAAGGUUUUCGGAUCGUAAAGCUCUGUUGUUAGGGAAGAACAAGUGCGAGAGUAACUGCUCGCACCUUGACGGUACCUAACCAGAAAGCCACGGCUAACUACGUGCCAGCAGCCGCGGUAAUACGUAGGUGGCAAGCGUUGUCCGGAAUUAUUGGGCGUAAAGGGCUCGCAGGCGGUUUCUUAAGUCUGAUGUGAAAGCCCCCGGCUCAACCGGGGAGGGUCAUUGGAAACUGGGAAACUUGAGUGCAGAAGAGGAGAGUGGAAUUCCACGUGUAGCGGUGAAAUGCGUAGAGAUGUGGAGGAACACCAGUGGCGAAGGCGACUCUCUGGUCUGUAACUGACGCUGAGGAGCGAAAGCGUGGGGAGCGAACAGGAUUAGAUACCCUG